rnacentral:rRNA from 1 species
GGCGAGCGAAGCGGUAAAAGCUCAAAUUUAAAAUCUGGCUCCUUUGGAGUCCGAGUUGUAAUUUAUAGAGGAUGCUUCGGGCGUGGCCGCGGUUCAAGUCCCCCUGGAACGAGGCAUCACAGAGGGUGAAAAUCCCGUAUUUGACCGGUUGGCCUUGCCCAUGUGAAGCUCUUUUGACGAGUCGAGUUGUUUGGGAAUGCAGCUCUAAAUGGGUGGUAAAUUUCAUCUAAAGCUAAAUACUAGUCGGAGACCGAUAGCGCACAAGUAGAGUGAUCGAAAGAUGAAAAGCACUUUGGAAAGAGAGUUAAACAGCAUGUGAAAUUGUUGAAAGGGAAGCGCUUGCGAUCAGAAUCGGCCGCGGGGGCUCAGCCGGCACUCAUUGUCGGUGCACUCCCUCGAGGUCGUGCCAGCGUCGGUUUCGACGGCCGGUCAAAGAUCCCUGAAAUGUGUCGCCUCUUGGGGCGUCUUAUAGUUGGGGGUGCAAUGCGGUUAGUCGAGACCGAGGAACGCGUUCCGGCA